GCUUGUUUAGCUUAGUUGGUAGAGCGCAAGGCUCUUAACCUUGUGGUUGUGGGUUUAAGCCCCAUAGUGGGCA
rnacentral:tRNA from 1 species